UAGGGAAUCUUCGGCAAUGGACGAAAGUCCGUCCGAGCAACGCCGCGCGAGUGAAGAAGGUUUUCGGAUCGUAAAACUCUGUUGUUAGAGAAGAACAAGGACGUUAGUAACUGAACGUCCCCUGACGGUAUCUAACCAGAAAGCCACGGCUCACUACGUGCCAGCAGCCGCGGUCAUACGUAGGUGGCAAGCGUUGUCCGGAUUUAUUGGGCGUAAAGCGAGCGCAGGCGGUUUCUUAAGUCUGAUGUAAAAGCCCCCGGCUCAACCGGGGAGGGUAAUUGGAAACUGGGAGACUAGAGUGCAGAAGAGAGGAGUGGAAUUCCAUGUGUAGCGGUGAAAUGCGUAGAUAUAUGGAGGAACACCAGUGGCGAAGGCGGCUCUCUGGUCUGUAACUGACGCUGAGGCUCGAAAGCGUGGGGAGCAAACAGG
rnacentral:rRNA from 1 species